rnacentral:rRNA from 1 species
GUGGUGGUCCAUACCACGUUGAAAGCACCGGUCCUCGUUUAAUCACUAAAGUCAAACAACGUCGGGCGUGAGUCUGCUCUGGGAUGGGUACACGGGAACACCACGUGAUGUUAGCU